UGCAAGGGGCGGCGGCGGGUGUCCUCGGCACCCGGCUGGGGCCCGGGGUACCCACAGAUCCCUGGGAGCCCCAGGCUGCGAUGAUGAAACCGAAUCUAGCCCGGCAGAUUGCCGACCUUCUCCCGCCCAGGAACCUGCCCCCAAGAAAGAAGCCCCUUCCCCUCCUUGGGUGGAAAGAACUCUGCAGGGGUUGAGCCCACAGACCUGGAUUCAAUCCAGGCGUCGCUGUUUCCUCGCGGUGUGUCCUUAGAUGGGGUCACAAAGGGACAGAGAUGUUAAAUAAACCCACUCAAGGUCACGUGGCUGGUGGUCUUGCUCAGAUCGCUUCAACAGCCUCCUCAACGGUCUCCCUCCCUCUGGCUCACACAAUCCGUCUCCACGAUGUCCACCAGAGGGCGCUCCACACCGUGACUCUGAAGCUGUUAGUCCCAGGCUCCUCAGUGCUUUGGGCUGGAGAUCAAGCCUUGUGGGCUUUCCCUGGCCUCAUGCGUACCACUCCCCAGGAGACCCCCUUGCAGCUCCGGGGGAGCCCCGUUCCUUCCCCCAGGCCUCUCUGUGAAUGCACACACGCUGUUACCCACAACUGAGGCCCUUCCCCUUGGCAAAUGCCUUCUACCUUGCUCCGGAUUCCUCCAGAUGCUAGGACACCUCCCCCCAGCAGCCUGCACUCCCCCCAAACCAGCUUCCUCACCGCAGUCACAAGGCCCAGUGUGAUCUGACCCCUGCCAGCUCUUUCCACGCCAGUACCGAUGCCCUGCUUAUUAUAACAAUAAUAAUGAACAUUAUUAUUAUUAAGCACUCAAAGCCCCUUUGCAUGUA